rnacentral:rRNA from 1 species
UACGUAGGGGGCAAGCGUUGUCCGGAUUUAUUGGGCGUAAAGAGCUCGUAGGCGGCUCGGUAAGUCGGAUGUGAAACCUCCAGGCUCAACCUGGAGACGCCAUCUGAUACUGCCGUGGCUUGAGUCCGGUAGAGGAGCAGGGAAUUCCUGGUGUAGCGGUGAAAUGCGCAGAUAUCAGGAGGAACACCAGCGGCGAAGGCGCUGCUCUGGGCCGGUACUGACGCUGAGGAGCGAAAGCGUGGGAGCGAACAGG